AGAUGCUUUCUCAAGAAUUUGCUACGUUUUAUCUGACCAUGUGUGACUUCGUAUCUCAGCCAGGACUCAGACACUGGAAUGUCUGCAACAAAUGGAUCCGAUAAAAGGGAAAGCUGCUCUGGCUCACGGUUUUGAAAACAAUAAGAACUGCAAUGUUUUCCAGAAGAAAAAAACCAAACCAACAAAGUAUGCUGAUGAGCCGUAAGUAAAUCACACUAAGUAAUUAGUGCUCUGAAACGUAUCUUCUGAUCUUUUAGAGCAUAACUAUCUCAAUUUUAGAUCUGCUUUUCGUACUAGAUGCAGAGUGCAGGGGGGUUGGACCAGACAACCUUGGAAGGUCCCCUCCAACCCAGCUACUCCGGGAUUCUAUAAUUCUGUGUCACACACGUUUUAUUUGCUGAUUCCUGGCGCUGCUCCUGGGCCUUCCCUCUCCCUUCGUCUUUGACGGGGGGCAGUUUGCUGCGCGUUUAGCUGGGGCUCUCAGGUUUGCAGCUUGGAGUACCUGACCCCGGGAACCGGCUGAUAAAUGCUUUUAAGUGUGUGAGUGCCUUGUGUCCCCAGUGUAACAGCAAAUGUUGGCUGCUGUGCAGGGCACUGAAUCUUUAUAACACGGAGCAAAAACGCCUGCGGUCCCAGAGGCCUGAAAUCCCAUCUUCUUCUGCAAGGACCCACUGUAAUUCUUCUCCUGUUUCUCCAGACAAGGGCAAUCAUCUGGUCCAUUACUAAGAUACUUAAGCAAGUGUUUACAGUGAGAAAGAGCACUGUACAAAACUAAAAGGUUAAAAUCUAGCUGCAGGGUUUUAGUCUCCUUGUAAAGGUGAUGAUCCCUAUACUUUUACCUCUGACUUAUAUUUUAUUUAAAGACAGGCUGUACAGAUAAGUUUAGAAAGCACGAAAAACAUUUCUAAGAAACACUGAUUUAAAAAGCAAAGGUAAAUUAUAUAGGCAAGCAAACAAACCUACAUGGCUUAUUGCAUAACAUAGCUAUUAAGGACAGGAGAAAAUGUGAAAUAAUCCAUUAAAAGAGUAUUGAAAACAUUUUCAGAUGGAAAUAACAGUAGCAAAUUUGCACAUUUACAUUUUAUUUGUAGAUUUUUGUAUAUAAUAAUAAUAGACUACUGGUGAAUUAUUGCAACUAUCAUAUUUAAUAUGAAUCCUAUAAAUCAAUAAAAGGUGAGGAAAAAAGCCGCUGUUAGUCUAUGAAAAGUCAGAAUGCCUUGUUUGAGGCAGAAACAUGACAUCUGUAACUAACAACUGAUGGAGCGCAGGCGAACGUCUCAGACUCCCCACAAGUGAAGUGUCACAGAAAUGAAUCGCAGCCGCUACGGCAGCAGCGGGUCAGGGGUCUCUGGGCAGCUGCGCUUGGGGCAGGUGUGAUGGAAUCCCUGGGACAGGGUCUUUGUCUCCAGGAACGGGCUGUUGGCAGCCUAGUGCCAGAAAAGCUGCAGCUACGCUCUAAACUGCAGCUGUGAUGGACAGUCAUGAUCUGUUCUUCACUUAUUUUUCUGAAAGGGGGGCAUUUUUGGCAUUAUGGACCUUGAUCUGGCUGAUCACAUUACACCUCUGUAAAUUGUUCUGUGAGGCUGAAUGUUUGGUUGUGUUCCUGAGCAGGGCAGCUGUGGGUAACAGCAUCAGCAGGUCCCUGUCCCUGGUCCCUGUCCCUGGUUCUUGUCUCAGGUCCCUGCGCUGGCCGGGCUGAGGAGCCCCCUGUGCCCAGGUGUGCGGGGGCUCAGCCCAGUGCCCGGGAAUGGCACCGCGGGGCUCGCAGGGACCUCCCUCCCUAAUGGCCGUGGUGCUGCUGGUCGUCAUCGCUGGCACUGGUGGAAAAUGACCUCCUGAAGAGCAGUGCAGGCAACACCUGGAGAAGGAGCCGGGCUGUGUCUGGUCUGACCAUACCCCACGGCAGGGAAGAGGAGCAGGGUGAGUGAUUUCCCUCUUUGAUUUGCUGCAAUAACCUCCAAAUGUUGCCUGAGACCAGAAGCAGAAGAAAAAGUAGUUAAGAAAGGACCUGAGCCAGCGAUUUUCCUCUUUGCCUGACAAUAGAUCUGCUCUCUGCACCCGUGGGACACAGCCCCAGCGGCAAUGCCCUCGGCACUGCCUGUCCCUGGGCAGGGCAUCCCCAUCCCCAUCACCAUCCCCAUCGCCACCGCCAUCCCAUCCCACCCCAUCCUCAUCCCCAUCGCCAUGGGACACACCGCCACUGCUCUGCCACCCCAUGGCCUCCCAGCCUGGCCAGGAACGGAGACGAUCUGUCAGAGUCAUAAAAAAAACUAAGUCAAGAUGCAGGGACCCGAGUCCGUGAGUCUCAGCGGGUACGUCUAAGGACCUGUGUACAAAUCGCGCAUGUGUGGGGAGGAUUCAUAGCCACCAGUAUAAAAAGAAGACAAACCCAGAAAGUCCCGGUAGGAAUAUUCAGCAGCUCUUUUAAGAGUAGUUUAUAGGCUCAGACAGCUGGUGUGUUUUUUUUUGCAGGCCAGCAACUCUGUGUUAAGGCUAUUGGGGCAGUUAAAGCGGAUCUAGUUCACUGUGCUUGACUUUAUUUCAUCAAUAGAAAAUACCAGGAAUAUUAGAUUUGAACUGCAAAAGAUUAACAACCAAUCCCUCUUUGAACUGUUACAGACCAGAGGAAUGAGAGUUUCCCCUUACUCAGACAACGAUUAGAGCAAGAAGCAACACACUCACAUACCAAAUGAGCGUGUUGAAGCAUUUGCCCUGAUCUCUUUUGCUAUAAAUCUUUGAGAUGUGUGUUCCUGGCUCCUCUGUUGAAAAUACAGCUCCCCACUGCCGCAGAGAACAGAAGCAGCUCCAGAGCUGCUGAGCGAAGGUUGGUAGAGCAAUCUCAUCCUAAUGAUUUAGGAAGCGGAGUUCCCAGACAAGGUGUCAGUCAUGUUGAAGAGGACUUUAUGAUGCCUCCGACAACCUUUAAAGCUUUGUUUGCCUACCUUACAGAAAAGCAAAGUAACAGGGCAAUUUUGUUUUACUUUUGCUGUCAUCAUUUUAUUUGCGGUGCCAAUAUUGAGGGGCUGGAUUUAUGAGAAGACCUCAUGGAGCUUUGGGCUCCUCAGCCCAGCCUGGAUCCUGGGCAGAGCCUGCUGCACCUGUGGGGAUGGGACACAACGUUCUUCCAGCCCCACAACCGGUCCCAGGGUCACCAGCUGCGUUACAUCACUUGUUCAGAUACCAAAAGUGCUUGGCAUCUCCUGAGACACAAUUCCUUUCUAGAUAUACAGCUUCUAUCAUCAGUUAAGUGCUUUCUUUAUUUUGGUCUUGUUCUGAAACGUCCUCAUCCGUGAAAUGUCUUUUCCUCAAGAAAGAUUUGCACCAGAUUAAAGAAGCCGGUGCUCUCGGUGGGCAGCACAUUAACUUGCAGAACUGCUGGGUCCGUGGAAGGAUGUGGCCCCAGAGGCAGUGCUGGGGGCCACAGCAGCUGAGGACACGUGUCUGGGAACACGGGGCUCCCGGGAUGGCACCCCUGGGGGGCACCCCAAGGACACUUUGCCUACUCGUCUUGCUGACAAAGAGCAGAACUGAAAAUUGCUGUGUUUUUGGUCGGUAGGCUCCCUAAAGCCUCCGGGGCUGCAAAGCCCGAGCAGGAGCGCCAGGAGGGCUCUACGCUGAGCGCCCACGGCACCGCUGCGUCCCCAAGGGAGCCGUGGGCCGGCUCAGACCGCUGGGCUUCCUCAGCCUUCAGGGAGGGAAAUGAUGGUGCUUGUGUCCCCUUGUCCUUGUGCCCAAGCCAGUUAUAAGGAUUGCUUUUAGAGAAAGUGCCUGUCAGCAACUCCAGUAUCACUUGCUCUACGUUUUGAUGCCCCGUGUGGUCCUAAUUGGUUUCACAGGUACCAUACACAAAAUUACCUGUCUUCCUGACACUGGAAGUGAAAAUGUGCAAAACUUCUGCAGCUUGAAGGAGGAUGACGGAUUGCAAGCUUCCUUCUGCUGUGCAAUUACCUGAAGGAUCUGUGCUUUUCCACGUACUUUAGAACAAUUAUCCUUGUCUGUAACCUACUUUUUCCAUGCUUUAUGGCUCCUAUCCUGGGGUGGGAAAGGCAGUAAGCUCUCAUUCUGAAAUGAAGUGAUUUCUCAGUGAAA